rnacentral:rRNA from 1 species
UAGGGAAUCUUCCGCAAUGGACGAAAGUCUGACGGAGCAACGCCGCGUGAACGAUGAAGGUCUUCGGAUCGUAAAGUUCUGUUGUCAGGGAAGAACAAGUGCCGUGCGAAUAGAGCGGCACCUUGACGGUACCUGACGAGGAAGCCCCGGCUAACUACGUGCCAGCAGCCGCGGUAAUACGUAGGGGGCAAGCGUUGUCCGGAAUUAUUGGGCGUAAAGCGCGCGCAGGCGGUUCCUUAAGUCUGAUGUGAAAGCCCACGGCUCAACCGUGGAGGGUCAUUGGAAACUGGGGAACUUGAGUGCAGAAGAGGAGAGUGGAAUUCCACGUGUAGCGGUGAAAUGCGUAGAUAUGUGGAGGAACACCAGUGGCGAAGGCGACUCUCUGGUCUGUAACUGACGCUGAGGCGCGAAAGCGUGGGGAGCAAACA